rnacentral:rRNA from 1 species
CCUACGGGGGGCUGCAGUGGGGAAUAUUGGGCAAUGGGCGCAAGCCUGACCCAGCAACGCCGCGUGAGGGAAGAAGGUCUUCGGAUUGUAAACCUCUGUCCUUGGGGACGAAAAAAAUGACGGUACCCAAGGAGGAAGCUCCGGCUAACUACGUGCCAGCAGCCGCGGUAAUACGUAGGGAGCGAGCGUUGUCCGGAAUUAUUGGGCGUAAAGGGUGCGUAGGCGGUAAUCCAAGUCAGAUGUGAAAUCCCCGGGCUUAACUCGGGUGUUGCAUUUGAAACUGGAUUACUUGAGUGCAGGAGAGGAAAGCGGAAUUCCUAGUGUAGCGGUGAAAUGCGUAGAUAUUAGGAGGAACACCAGUGGCGAAGGCGGCUUUCUGGACUGUAACUGACGCUGAGGCACGAAAGCGUGGGGAGCAAACAGGAUUAGAUACCCGAGUAGUC